rnacentral:rRNA from 1 species
CCCGCUGAACUUAAGCAUAUCAAUAAGCGGAGGAAAAGAAACCAACAGGGAUUGCCCUAGUAACGGCGAGUGAAGCGGCAACAGCUCAAAUUUGAAAUCUGGCUCUCGGGCCCGAGUUGUAAUUUGUAGAGGGCGCUUUGGCGUCGGCCGCGGCCUAAGUCCCCUGGAACGGGGCGUCAGAGAGGGUGAGAAUCCCGUCUGCGGCCGCUGGCCUUCGCCGCGUAAAGCCCCUUCGACGAGUCGAGUUGUUUGGGAAUGCAGCUCUAAAUGGGAGGUAAAUUUCUUCUAAAGCUAAAUACCGGCCAGAGACCGAUAGCGCACAAGUAGAGUGAUCGAAAGAUGAAAAGCACUUUGGAAAGAGAGUCAAAAAGCACGUGAAAUUGUUGAAAGGGAAGCGCUUGCAGCCAGACGUGCCCGCGGCGGCUCAACCAGGCUCUCGCCUGGCGCACUCCACCGUGGGCAGGCCAGCAUCAGUCCGGGCGGCCGGAGAAAGGCACACGACACGUACCUGUCCUCGCGGCAUGACAUACAGGGUGGGCGGCAUACGGCCAGCCCGGACUGAGGUCCGCGCAUCUGCUAGGAUGCUGGCGUAAUGGUGGCAAGCGGCCCGUCUUGAAACACGG